AUCGACGGGGAGGUUUGGCACCUCGAUGUCGGCUCAUCGCAUCCUGGGGCUGAAGUAGGUCCCAAGGGUUGGGCUGUUCGCCCAUUAAAGCGGUACGCGAGCUGGGUUCAGAACGUCGUGAGACAGUUCGGUCCCUAUCUGUCGCGGGCGCAGGAAGUUUGAGGAGAGCUGUCCUUAGUACGAGAGGACCGGGAUGGACGCACCGCUGGUGCACCAGUUGUCACGCCAGUGGCACAGCUGGGUAGCUAUGUGCGGAAGGGAUAAGCGCUGAAAGCAUCUAAGCGUGAAGCCCCCUCCAAGAUGAGACUUCCCACAGCGUUAAGCUGGUAAGACCCCUCAUAGACGAUGAGGUUGAUAGGUUCGGUGUGGAAGCGCGGCAACGCGUGGAGCUGACGAAUACUAAUCGGUCGAGGACUUAUCCAC
rnacentral:ncRNA from 1 species